rnacentral:piRNA from 1 species
AAUGUUAUGAAUUUUGUUGCUUCUCGA